rnacentral:rRNA from 1 species
ACGCUCGACACCUACGGGAGGCAGCAGUGGGGGAUAUUGCACAAUGGGGAAACCCUGAUGCAGCGACGCCGCGUGAAGGAAGAAGUAUUUCGGUAUGUAAACUUCUAUCAGCAGGGAAGAAAAUGACGGUACCUGAGUAAGAAGCACCGGCUAAAUACGUGCCACAGCCGCGGUAAUCUGAGGCGGGCUGGCAAGGC